GACGAACGCUGGCGGCGUGCUUAAUACAUGCAAGUCGAACGGACAGACCCUGCUCUUGUGCGUUGCUCGAGUGCCGAACGGGUGAGUAAAACGUGAGUAUCCUGCCCUUAACUUUGGGGUAACAUCAGGAAACUGCGGCUCAUACAGGAUAUGAGCUCCUGAUGCAUGGUGGUGGUUGGAAAGUUUCGGCGGUUGGGGAUGGAUUCGCGGCUUAUGAGCUUGUUUGUGGAGUAGUGGCUGACCAAGGGUUCGACGGGUAGCCGGCCUGAGAGGGUGACCGGCGACAAGGGGACUACGAGACGGACCAGACGCCUACGGGAGGCAGCAGGCGGGAAUAUUGCACAAUGGGGGGAAGCCUGAUGCAGCAACGCCGCGUGCGGGAUGACGGCUUUCGGGUUGUAAACCGCUUUCGCCUGUGACGAGGCGGGAGUGACGGUAAUGGGUAAGGAAGCACCGGCUAACUACGUG
rnacentral:rRNA from 1 species